CGCAGGCCCGGGAAGAACACCCCCAUCUGAUAUUAAGGUCUGUUCAACCGGUUCAUUACCCAGCGCACUCCAGCCAGCAGCCUCUCAACAACCUCUGGCUUGCCAAGUGAACCAGCCCCCAACUCACAUCCUCUUGCUCACUUUCUCGGUUCCUAGACCCCUCCCCCAACACACACCUCCCACCCCGCUCAUUUCUUACUCCCUGACACACCAGGAUCUUACUCAGUUUGCUUAAGGACUUUACCAGAACUCCGUCAGCCAUUUUUUCCAAAAUCUCCCCCAAAUUAAGACCAGCAGCCGGCCUGCUCUGCAAACAAAAGAUUCACCGUCAACACCUUGAAAUCUGGAAAGGAUCUGGCACGAGUCACUGGGAGGUUUUCACUGGAAAUGCAGUGCAUUUGUUGGAGCCAUGGGGCUGUGUUGUGGUAACAUGCAUCAUUAAUAACAAGCUGCAACCAGGUGAUCCAGAGCAAGGUUAGGCAUGAAAAUGCCCAGCUUCGGGGGCUGCAUUCAUCCUUCCUAAUACAUGACGAGCACCAUGGAAGAUAAUGGACUGUAUGAAGCUGAGCAGCCCCAAAGAAGAGAAGUACCUCCAAAAUAUGAGUUGUUUAUGGACACUGAAUAGGAUACCAAUUAAGAGCUUGGGUUUAGGAGCCAGACUGCUGUGAUCCAUCCUGGAUCUUGCACUUACUACCUGUGUAAUCUUGGGAAAUAAAAACCUUUCUGCACCUCAGUUUCCUAUCUAUAAAAUGGGUAUAGUAGCAGUACCUGCUGCAUAGGAUUGUUUAUUAAAAUAGACAACCAAGUAAAAUACUCCGCCAAGUGCCUGAUAUACAGUGCC
ensembl:lncRNA